UACGUAGGGUGCAAGCGUUGUCCGGAAUUAUUGGGCGUAAAGAGCUCGUAGGCGGUCUGUCGCGUCGGCUGUGAAAACUCGGGGCUCAACCCCGAGCCUGCAGUCGAUACGGGCAGACUAGAGUGUGGUAGGGGAGACUGGAAUUCCUGGUGUAGCGGUGAAAUGCGCAGAUAUCAGGAGGAACACCGAUGGCGAAGGCAGGUCUCUGGGCCACUACUGACGCUGAGAAGCGAAAGCAUGGGGAGCGAACAGG
rnacentral:rRNA from 1 species